rnacentral:rRNA from 1 species
UGGGGAAUAUUGCACAAUGGGGGAAACCCUGAUGCAGCGACGCCGCGUGAGCGAAGAAGGUUUUCGAAUCGUAAAGCUCUGUCCUAUGGGAAGAAAAUGACAGUACCAUAGGAAUAAGGACCGGCUAAUUACGUGCCAGCAGCCGCGGUAAUACGUAAGGUCCGAGCGUUGUCCGGAAUCAUUGGGCGUAAAGGGUACGUAGGCGGGUAAGCAAGUUAGAAGUGAAAUCCUAUAGCUCAACUAUAGUAAGCUUUUAAAACUGCUCAUCUUGAGGUAUGGAAGGGAAAGUGGAAUUCCUAGUGUAGCGGUGAAAUGCGCAGAUAUUAGGAGGAAUACCGGUGGCGAAGGCGACUUUCUGGCCAUAACCUGACGCUGAGGUACGAAAGCGUGGGUAGCAAACAGG